CGCGGCCUAUCAGCUUGUUGGUGGGGUAAUGGCCUACCAAGGCGGCGACGGGUAGCCGGCCUGAGAGGGUGUACGGCCACAUUGGGACUGAGAUACGGCCCAGACUCCUACGGGAGGCAGCAGUGGGGAAUAUUGCACAAUGGGCGCAAGCCUGAUGCAGCGACGCCGCGUGGGGGAUGAAGGCCUUCGGGUUGUAAACUCCUUUCGCUAGGGACGAAGCUUUUUGUGACGGUACCUAGAUAAGAAGCACCGGCUAACUACGUGCCAGCAGCCGCGGUAAUACGUAGGGUGCGAGCGUUGUCCGGAAUUACUGGGCGUAAAGGGCUCGUAGGUGGUUUGUCGCGUCGUCUGUGAAAUUCUGGGGCUUAACUCCGGGCGUGCAGGCGAUACGGGCACAACUUGAGUGCUGUAGGGGUAACUGGAAUUCCUGGUGUAGCGGUGAAAUGCGCAGAUAUCAGGAGGAACACCGAUGGCGAAGGCAGGUUACUGGGCAGUUACUGACGCUGAGGAGCGAAAGCAUGGGUAGCGAACAGGAUUAGAUACCCUGGUAGUCCAUGCCGUAAACGGUGGGCGCUAGGUGUGAGGGUCUUUCUACGACUUUCGUGCCGUAGCUAACGCAUUAAGCGCCCCGCCUGGGGAGUACGG
rnacentral:rRNA from 1 species